GAGAGAUCUUCCAGGCGACUCCGGCCCAUGGAGGAUGCAGAGCAUCACAUCAGAUCAAACAUUGAUAAACCAGUACUUUACCAGCGUUUUAUCAAUAUCUUUAAAGGACGGGGAGUUUUUGCCACUGAAUUCAUAUCCAAAGGAGACUUUGUUGUGGAGUACCGAGGUGAACUGCUUACACAACAGGAGGGCGAGGUCCGAGCUGAUCAGUACAAUGAUUCUGCAAAGGUGUUUCUUUUCGAUUUCCAAUGGAAAGGAAGAACGUGGUGCAUUGAUGCAUCUGAAGAAGACUCCUCCCUUGGGAGACUCGUUAAUGAUGAUCACUAAAGACUCAAUCUCAAAAUGAAGGCCAUACAAGCAAACGAUGAGCCACACUUGUGCCUCUUCGCGACUCGAGAUAUUGCAGCUGGCGAAGAGUUGACUUAUAGUUACGGUGAUUCAGACUGGCCAUGGAGAACACAGGUCAUCAAAACUGAAUUGUCGUCCAGCCCAAAACCUGGUAAGAACUUUACUAAAGUCAUAGAUCAAUAUGAGUUUAUUUUCCUUCUAUUAUCACAUUUACUAUUUCACUUUCACAAAUACACAUUUAUAGUCUAACAUCAAUUGCACUGGAAUGCAGUGCACUUGUUGCAUACAUCAAAAGUUACCUAAAUAUACAAUACAUUCAAAUAUAUGAAAUAAAAACCUUAUCAAUAAGAACUCAGUAGUUAGGCUCUUGUGGGCUCAUUUAGUAGCCCAACUAAUGAGGGUAUUGCUCUUCUCCUGAAAAGUUCAGUCCUGCAUCUGACCAGAAUAGGAUGUUCAAAACUAAACGCUACACCAGGCAUUUCCUGUG